CCAGACUCCUACGGGAGGCAGCAGUGGGGGAUAUUGCACAAUGGGGGGAACCCUGAUGCAGCGACGCCGCGUGGGUGAAGGAGUGCUUCGGCAUGUAAAGCCCUAUCGGCAGGGAAGAAGCAAGACGGUACCUGACUAAGAAGCCCCGGCUAACUACGUGCCAGCAGCCGCGGUAAUACGUAGGGGGCAAGCGUUAUCCGGAUUUACUGGGUGUAAAGGGAGCGUAGACGGCGGGGCAAGUCUGGAGUGAAAGGCCGGGGCCCAACCCCGGGACCGCUCUGGAAACUGCCCGGCUGGAGUGCGGGAGAGGUAAGCGGAAUUCCUAGUGUAGCGGUGAAAUGCGUAGAUAUUAGGAGGAACACCAGCGGCGAAGGCGGCUUACUGGACCGUGACUGACGUUGAGGCUCGAAAGCGUGGGGAGCAAACAGGAUUAGAUACCCGAGUAACC
rnacentral:rRNA from 1 species